UACGGAGGGAGCUAGCGUUGUUCGGAAUUACUGGGCGUAAAGCGCACGUAGGCGGCUUUGUAAGUUAGAGGUGAAAGCCCGGGGCUCAACUCCGGAACUGCCUUUAAAACUGCAUCGCUUGAAUCCAGGAGAGGUGAGUGGAAUUCCGAGUGUAGAGGUGAAAUUCGUAGAUAUUCGGAAGAACACCAGUGGCGAAGGCGACUCGCUGGACAAGUAUUGACGCUGAGGUGCGAAAGCGUGGGGAGCAAACAGG
rnacentral:rRNA from 1 species